rnacentral:rRNA from 1 species
UUUUACGGAGAGUUUGAUCCUGGCUCAGGAUGAACGCUGGCGGCGUGCUUAACACAUGCAAGUCGAACGAUGAAGCCCAGCUUGCUGGGUGGAUUAGUGGCGAACGGGUGAGUAACACGUGAGUAACCUGCCCUUAACUCUGGGAUAAGCCUGGGAAGCUGGGUCUAAUACCGGAUAGGAGCGUCCACCGCAUGGUGGGUGUUGGAAAGAUUUAUCGGUUUUGGAUGGACUCGCGGCCUAUCAGCUUGUUGGUGAGGUAAUGGCUCACCAAGGCGACGACGGGUAGCCGGCCUGAGAGGGUGACCGGCCACACUGGGACUGAGACACGGCCCAGACUCCUACGGGAGGCAGCAGUGGGGAAUAUUGCACAAUGGGCGAAAGCCUGAUGCAGCGACGCCGCGUGAGGGAUGACGGCCUUCGGGUUGUAAACCUCUUUCAGUA